rnacentral:tRNA from 1 species
GCCCGAUUAGCUCAGUGGUAGAGCGCCUGGCUGUUAACCAGGAUGUCGCAGGUUCGAUCCCCGCAUCGGGCG